rnacentral:rRNA from 1 species
GACGAACGCUGGCGGCGUGCUUAACACAUGCAAGUCGAGCGGUAAGGCCCUUUCGGGGGUACACGAGCGGCGAACGGGUGAGUAACACGUGGGUGACCUGCCCUCAGCUCUGGGAUAAGCCUGGGAAACCGGGUCUAAUACUGGAUAUGACUCCAUGACGCAUGUUGGUGGGGUGGAAAGCCUUGUGCGGCUGAGGAUGGGCCCGCGGCCUAUCAGCUUGUUGGUGGGGUGAGGCCUACCAAGGCGACGACGGGUAGCCGGCCUGAGAGGCGACCGGCCACACUGGGACUGAGACACGGCCCAGACUCCUACGGGAGGCAGCAGUGGGGAAUCUUGCGCAAUGGGCGAAAGCCUGACGCAGCGACGCCGCGUGAGGGAUGACGGCCUGGUUGUAAC